rnacentral:rRNA from 1 species
CCCUUAGAUGUUCUGGGCUGCACGCGCGCUACACUGAAGCGUUCAACGAGUAUUCACCUUGCCCGGGAGGGUUGGGUAAUCUCCAAAUUUCGUCGUGAUGGGGAUAGAUUAUUGCAAUUAUUAAUCUUCAACGAGGAAUGCCUAGUAAGCGCAAGUCAUCAGCUUGCGUUGAUUACGUCCCUGCCCUUUGUACACACCGCCCGUCGCUCCUACCGAUUGAAUGGUCCGGUGAAGCGUUCGGACCGUGGCCUUUGGACGGUUCGCCGUCUGUUGGCUGCGGGAAGUUCGUUAAACCUUAUCAUUUAGAGGAAGGAGAAGUCGUAACA